AUCAGGGUAUUAGUUCUCUUACAGAGAUCGCUUUUUAGAUUGUCGAAUCUUUUAUCUCUUUUGAUUCUUUUCUCAAGAAAAUCAAAGAGAUCUAUAGGAGGAUGAAAAAAUUAGAUCUAAUUUGAUUUCUUUUCUCCUUUCAAGAGAAAGAAGAAGAUCUGAAGAAGAAGAACAGGAGAUCUAAUCUCUUUUCUUUUCUUUCCGUCCAACUCUUGGACUAAUUAUGGAGGAGAAAGUAUGUCCAGCUCUUAAACAUCUAUGGAGGAAAAGGAGAGCGAGAGCUAUAUCCAACUCUUGGACAAAGGAGAGAUAUAAAAGGUCUUUACCUUUC
rnacentral:lncRNA from 1 species